AGUGAACGCUGGCGGUAGGCCUAAUACAUGCAAGUCGAACGGCAGCACAGUAAGAGCUUGCUCUUACGGGUGGCGAGAGGGGGACGGGAGAGGUAUACAACGGACUCUACUUUUCUGUGGGGGAUAACGUAGGGAAACUUACGUUAAUACUGCAUACGACCUACGGGUGAAAGCAGGGGAUCUUCGGACAUUGAGUGAUGGAAUGAGCUGAUGUCGAAUAAGAUAGUUGGCGGGGUAAAGGCCAACCAAGGCGACGAUCUGUUGCUGGGCUGAGAGGAUGAGCAGCCACGCUAGAACUGGAACACGGUCCAGACUCCUACGGGAGGCAACGGUGGGGAAUAGUAGACAAGGCGCGGAAGCCUGAUCCAACCGUACCGCGUGGGGGGAGAAGGGCCUCGGGUUGUGAAGCCCUUUUGUUGGGAAAGAAAAGCAGCAGGUUAAUACCCCGCUGUACUGACGGUACCCAAAGAGUAAGCACCGGCUAACUUCGUG
rnacentral:rRNA from 1 species